GCCCCCGUAGCACAAUUGGAUAGUGCACCGCACUUCUAAUGCGAAGGUUGCUGGUUCGAGUCCAGCCGGGGGUACCA
rnacentral:tRNA from 2 species